UUCACGCCUAGUCUUCUCCUAAAAUCAGACUAGGGUUUAGACUGUGAUAUAGAGGGUUGAGUGAUAACCACCACCGAUCAGUGAUUCCAGCCGCAGUGCGUUUCAGGCUCCCGCUUCCGCUUCACGAAGAACAACUCAACAAAGGGUUGAAACUCAAUGGUAACAAUUAUGUAACCUAGAGCUUGAAAGUCCAGUAUGUGCUAGGGGAGUAAGAGGCUCUGGAGGCCAUUAACAAUGUCAUGAAUGAGCCCGAGGAAGGCAAGACUACUCAGCGUAGGUGUGAGCGUGAAGCCUAUGACAGUUGGAAGAAAAAGAACUCCAUUGCUCGCAUUACGUUGUUGAGCACGUUGGAUGAUGACAUCCUAAGGGAGUUUAAGGAUCACUAAAGAGCUAUGGAUCUUUGGAAUGCUUUGAGGAAAAGGUUUGGUACCUGUUCCACUGCAAGGGCUGCGAUCCUUAUCGAUCAAAUUUGAUUCAUAUAAGAAACGCCCAGAACAUUCAAUGGAAAUACAUCUGAGGCAAAUGGCAAAUACGAUCGGGGAGUUGAAAGAUGUUGGUCAUGUGAUGGCUGAUGAACAACAAAUCCAAGAUAUUAUACGCUCUUUACCUAGUUCUUGGGAUAAUAUGAAAAUGCAUUUGACCCAUAAUGAGCGAAUCACAACUCUGAAAGAUGUCCAGAGGCAUCUUGAGUUUGAGGAGGAACGACUUGAGGGUGCAAAGCCAAUAGAUGAAUUGCACAUGGAAACAACCUCCAAAACCAAGAGUGAUUCAAAGAAAAGGAAUUGGGGAAAGAAGAGAGGGCCACCUCAAGCUCAAUAAGCUCAGCCUUCUAAAAGGGCAAAGACUGAAAAAGGCAAGAACAAACGUCCUAAAUGUGUCAAAGUUGCUAAAGUGAAAUGUUAUAAUUGUGACAAAAAGGGUCACUAUGCCAGAGAUUGCUCUGAGCCUCCUAGAAAGAAUCAGGAGCAAUAGACCACACAGCAUGGGAACGCACUAUCUUUGUUGAAUUUCGGCGAGUUUCACGUGGAGCAAAGUGGAUAUAUGCGGGCACCAACAAUAAAGUUGACGUUGAAGGGAUCGGUACAUGCAAGUUAGUCCUAUGUGGUGGUCGAGACCUAAUACUACAUGAUGUUCUCUUUGCACCAACAAUUCGCCGGAAUGUUAUUUCAGUUUGAGUUUUGCUUAAGCUAGGAUUUGACUUGUUUUGUCAUGGAAAUUCUGCCAAGUUGACUUAUGAUCCAACUUUAUUUGGUUUGGGUCAUGUGAC